rnacentral:rRNA from 1 species
CGACCGGCGCACGGGUGAGUAACACGUAUGCAACCUGGCCGUGACAGAUGGAUAACCGGGAGAAAUCCCGCCUAAUACAGCAUGACGCCGGGAAGGGACAUCCCUUUCCGGCCAAAGGGGGCGACUCCGGUCACGGAUGGGCAUGCGGCGCAUUAGGUAGUUGGUGGGGCAACGGCCCACCAAGCCGACGAUGCGCAGGGGUUCUGAGAGGAAGGUCCCCCACAUUGGAACUGAGACACGGUCCAAACUCCUACGGGAGGCAGCAG